AGCAGUAGCCGCGGUAAUACAGAGGGUGCGAGCGUUAAUCGGAUUUACUGGGCGUAAAGCGUGCGUAGGCGGCUUUUUAAGUCGGAUGUGAAAUCCCUGAGCUUAACUUAGGAAUUGCAUUCGAUACUGGGAAGCUAGAGUAUGGAAGAGGAUGGUAGAAUUCCAGGUGUAGCGGUGAAAUGCGUAGAGAUCUGGAGGAAUACCGAUGGCGAAGGCAGCCAUCUGGCCUAAUACUGACGCUGAGGUACGAAAGCAUGGGGAGCAAACAGGAUUAGAUACCCGCGUAGUCCCUGUCUCUUAUAC
rnacentral:rRNA from 1 species